rnacentral:rRNA from 1 species
AAGACGGGUGCCAGCCGCCGCGGUAAUACCCGCGCCCCCAGUGGUGGUCGAUAUUAUUGAGCCUAAAACGUCCGUAGCCGGUCUUCUAAAUCCUUGGGUAAAUCGGGCAGCUUAACUGUCCGAAGUCCGAGGAGACUGGGAGACUUGGGACCGGGAGAGGUCAGAGGUACUUCUGGGGUAGGGGUAAAAUCCUGUAAUCCUGGAAGGACCACCGGUGGCGAAGGCGUCUGACUAGAACGGAUUCGACGGUGAGGGACGAAGCCCUGGGGCGCAAACGGGAUUAGAUACCCCGGUAGUCCAGGGUGUAAACGCUGCGGGCUUGGUGUUGGGGGUCCUUUGAGGGCGCCCAGUGCCGGAGAGAAGUUGUUAAGCCUGCUGCUUGGGGAGUACGUCCGCAAGGAUGAAACUUAAAGGAAUUGGCGGGGGAGCACCGCAACGGGAGGAGCGUGCGGUUCAAUUGGAUUCAACACCGGACAACUCACCAGGAGCGACGGUUACAUGAAGGCCAGGCUGAUGACCUUGCCUGAUUUUCCGAGAGGUGGUGCAUGGCCGUCGUCAGUUCGUACCGUAAGGCGUUCUCUUAAGUGAGAUAACGAACGAGACCCUCACCGCUAAUUGCUAGUCCUUUCUCCGGAGGGGGCGCACAUUAAUGGGACCGCUGGCGCUAAGUCAGAGGAAGGAGAGGUCAACGGUAGGUCCGUAUGCCCCGAAUCCCCUGGGCUACACGCGCGCUACAAAGGGUGGGACAAUGGGCUUCGACACCGAAAGGUG